CGGACGGGUGAGUAACACGUGGGCAACCUGCCCUGUAGAUUGGGAUAACUCCGGGAAACCGGGGCUAAUACCGAAUAAUCCAUUACCUCACAUGAGGAAAUGUUAAAAGACGGUUUCGGCUGUCACUACAGGAUGGGCCCGCGGCGCAUUAGCUAGUUGGUGAGGUAACGGCUCACCAAGGCGACGAUGCGUAGCCGACCUGAGAGGGUGAUCGGCCACACUGGGACUGAGACACGGCCCAGACUCCUACGGGAGGCAGCAGUAGGGAAUCUUCCACAAUGGACGAAAGUCUGAUGGAGCAACGCCGCGUGAGUGAAGAAGGUUUUCGGAUCGUAAAACUCUGUUGUGAGGGAAGAACAAGUACGAGAGUAACUGCUCGUACCUUGACGGUACCUCAUUA
rnacentral:rRNA from 1 species